rnacentral:rRNA from 1 species
CAGUAGCCGCGGUAAUACGGAGGGAGCUAGCGUUGUUCGGAAUUACUGGGCGUAAAGCGCACGUAGGCGGCUUUGUAAGUCAGAGGUGAAAGCCUGGAGCUCAACUCCAGAACUGCCUUUGAGACUGCAUCGCUUGAAUCCAGGAGAGGUGAGUGGAAUUCCGAGUGUAGAGGUGAAAUUCGUAGAUAUUCGGAAGAACACCAGUGGCGAAGGCGGCUCACUGGACUGGUAUUGACGCUGAGGUGCGAAAGCGUGGGGAGCAAACAGGAUUAGAUACCCCUGUAGUCCCUGUCUCUUAUAA